AAGGCUAUUUUGCAAUUUCCUAGAAUCUUGUUACUUCAAAUGCCUCCUAUUUCUCUCUCCAAAUAACCCACAUCACUCCAUGCCCUUGACUUCUCUUCCCCUUAUGUGAGCCCAACUAUGCAACGCCUCCUUUACUAUGCCCGGCAUCACCCAUCGCAUCCCACCUCAUUAAUUAGCUCCUUCAUUUGAAUUUCUACCCUCCCAAACACCUCCUUAUUCCACUUUCUUAUAUCCCCUUUUAACAUUUUCCAGUUGAAUUCCACUGUUUUCAGAUUAUGUUGCUUUCAGUAAUAAAAAUAUCACGGACUACUGUAAAAACUUCAAAAUACUGGCUGAAGGAGCAGUUUAGUAAAGAAUUAUACAAUAUCUGAAGGAGUAGCUAGUUUGGUGUCAGAGACCAACUCGUGGAAGGAUAAUUGUAUUUUAAGGAAUUGCUAAUGUGACUCGUGAAGACUGAAGAGCAAGGGUAAAGCUCAAAACUUUAUGACAAACCUUCAGCAUUCAUUUUCGUGUCCUAGCUUUGUCAGUACAGAGUUGUAGUGGGUGAACUGGUCUAUAAGUCUAUGUGGAAAGGCUGUAGGUUCAAGAAUACUGGCAAUCCUAUAUCACAUUAUCUCCAGUUGAUAGUUUAAUUUCGAGAACAAAUAAUGCCUGGAAAAUGUUCUGACUUAUUAUUUUAUGGCUUACUGGGCAUGAACUUGCUGAUCAAAAAAUCAUGUCAAGUUGUUGUGUGAGGUCAGGACAACGCAUUCAUCUGUGUGUUCCUCUAUCUAUUUCCAUAGUCAUCUGUUUCACAUUUUAUGAGCCUUCUGUUUACGGUGUUGGCAUUUCAGGUAUGCAGUUUUAGUGGCGGAGCCCUCGACUUAUUACUCUUUUGACUUUGGAAAACAUCUUGUUGGAGCUGUCGAUAUAAUUGUGCAGAAAGAUGAUGUGCUUCAACACCUCCCUGAAGCAGAAGAAUAUGUGUAUAUAUUGGGAAAUGCUGUCCUUAAAAACUUCAGGAUAUAUAAAGUUGCCACAACUCUACUCAAGGCAUGUGAUGAGCUUGCCAAACUUUGGGGCUUCAAAUAUUUGGUGGUGAAGGCUCAUCCUGAUGAUUUUGAUUUGUACUUGGACGCUGGGUAUGAAGUAAUUCCAUGUGAUCCAUUGUCAAGGAAUGGUAAGAAAAAUGAAGUGCUUAUGGUUAAACAUAUUUGACGGGGAUGUUCUUAUGGUGUUUUGGUUCUUGGAUGAUAGAAUCCUAUAUAGGCAAUCAAAUGCUUAUCAAACAUUUGUUUAGAUUUCUCAGAAUUGGCAUUGACCGGGUCUGGAAACAACUUUAUCCUAUUUACGCCAAGCUUCAGGUUUUCCUGGGCUAUGUAAACGUUUUUGAUAAUUGUACUGGUUAUCGAAUUGUUGUGAUCCUUGCACAUUUUAAAUGUAGAUGUCCUGCAGUUACAGUAGCAUGUUUUUUCGAUUUAUACUAUCCUUUGAUUGUAGUGCUGUGAUAUUCAAACUUCAGUUCUUUAUGGUAAGAUUUUGAAGCCUUAGUUCUUGUCACUUUCAAAAAGCUCUUACAGAAAUAUAAAGUACAACAACCUUUCCCCCAUUACUAUGGAUUUCUGCGUACGGUGUUUAUAUUUCCCAGUUUAACAAUGCAACCUAUCGAUGAUAACAUCCAUCCAGGUUAUAUCAGUACAGUACCAGUGUUCAGGAAGUGCAAUGGGUAUAAUCAGAUGACCCGAAAAACAUUUACUAAACUUUCUUUUCUUUGAGGAAGUUGAAAGCAUCUAAAAUAUCAUGCUUUGAUAAUGCUUAGAUGUUUCAACAAGGGAAGUUGGCACCAGUGGAGAUCUUGAAAUGGUCAGGAAUGCAAGCUUAAAUAGCUCUGCAGCAUUUUUACUACUUCCUUUUCUUUGAGUAAGUUGAAAGCAUCUAAAAUAUCAUGCUUUGAGUAAUGUUUUAGAUGUUUCAACAAGGGAAGUUGGCACCAGUGGAGAUCUUGAGAUGGUAAGGAAUGCGAGCUUAAAUAGCUCUGCAGCAUUUGCAGCUGCAACUGAUUCAAAUGCUUCCCUACAUAUACUGACUGUUGCCUUCAAUUAAAGGAUGUCCGCACCUCUUAGGAACCCAAUGCGAGCUUUUUCCUGAGAAGAAAUUUUGUUUCAUCUUGUCAAACUCUCAGCCUUUUGUCCAUGGAGUGGGGGUUGUAUGUAACAGACAUGCAGACACAGAGAGGAAGACAGGGAAUAUAGACAGAAUAUUAACUCCAUUCAUUUGGCAUUUGAAAUCUACAGAGAUGCAUCUGCUUCCUAUUAUGAAAAUGAUGAAACACCUGUAUAUUGUGUCUUCUAAAUCAUUCACGAGAGAAAUGUGUAAAAUAUGUUAA